CUGAACAUCAGGCAAAAGGUUGCCCUUGUAAUGAGGAAAAGAAAACGACUUCACAGAAACCUUCUGGAACAGUCAAGUGACUUUUUUUUUUUAGCACUGUAGAGCCAAGUGAGCUUGGAUGCUUUGGGGGAGGCCAAUAAUGGACUCUGCAUCACUUCCCAAACGGAACACGACGCUGAAAUUAGUAGGCUUGGCAAGGGCUCCAUCUCAUCACCACCAUCACCAUCAGCACUCCCCUCAGAGCAUGACAGGCUUCGCCGGGCUUCCCCACUCCAUGGUUCCCACGCACCCCGGGGAGUGCACCGCAGAAUCCCGCCUUGGACUGAGUCCAUUCCGGUCAGAACACAUGGGACACCACCACCACCGUCAUCAUCAUCAUCAUCUCCACCAUCUCCAUCAUCAUCACCACCGCCCUCCUCAUCCUCCUCAUCCACUUCCUCCUCCUCACUCAGCGGCCCUUAAGCUCAGCCCUGCCCCUCAGCCUCAUCCCCACCAUGCUGUGACAGGCCAAGCCGAGGUGGUCCCCAGUCCAGCAGGAGCCUUGGGCCAGGCGCAGUCAAGCACAGUCCCUUAUGCAGUCCCUCACCCAAGCCAAGCUCUUUCGGCAGGUAGGGAUUUCUUCCUGCGCGGAGACCUGACAGGGCCGGUCAUGCCAGGGCUCUCUUUGCAACACUCCGCUGCUCCAAGUUCUCAUCACGGAAUGUUUGUCUCAACAACAGGUAGCUACCCUGGACACCAUGCUCCCCACCACCACCUCCACCACCUCCACCACCACCACUCAGAAGCGGGGACUCCCUCUCUUUUCCCGGGACUCCACCAGGAGCAACCUCCCCAUGAAGCUCCAGGUGGCCGCCUGAACGGACAGAUAAGGCUGGGGCUACCUGGAGACAUGUAUGCCAGGGCUGAGCCCUUCCCUCCAGUGCCAGUCUCCAGGGCAGACCCCUUCGCGGCGUCCUCCUUCCACGGCUACAGUGGCAUGAACCUGAACCUGGCGCCCCACCACGGCCCGGGGGCUUUCUUCCGCUACAUGAGGCAGCCCAUCAAGCAGGAGCUCAUCUGCAAGUGGAUCGAACUGGACCAGCCCCCCCAGAAACUGUGCUCGAAAACUUUCAGCACCAUGCACGAGCUGGUGACCCACGUCACGGUGGAGCACGUCGGAGGGCCCGAGCAGAGCAAUCACAUCUGCUUCUGGGAAGAGUGUCUCCGGGAGGGAAAGCCUUUCAAGGCCAAGUACAAACUGGUCAACCACAUCCGAGUCCACACGGGCGAGAAGCCCUUCCCCUGCCCUUUCCCGGGAUGCGGGAAAGUCUUUGCCCGCUCCGAAAACCUCAAGAUCCACAAAAGGACGCACACAGGGGAGAAGCCCUUCAAGUGCGAGUUUGAAGGCUGUGAGCGCCGUUUCGCCAACAGCAGCGACCGGAAGAAGCAUUCCCACGUGCACACCAGCGACAAGCCCUACAACUGCAAAGUGCGAGGCUGUGACAAGUCCUACACCCACCCGAGCUCCCUCCGCAAGCACAUGAAGGUCCACUGCAAGUCCCCGCCGCCCAGCUCGGGCUACGAGUCCUCCACCACCCCGUCGCUCCUGUCGCCCUCCUCCGACUGCGGACGGGAGCCCCCCCAGCCGCCGCCACUGCCCCCGCCGCCUCCACUGCCGCCUCCCACGGCCGCCUCCUCCUCCUCCUCUACCCAGGCAGCGGCCAACCUGAGCGAAUGAUGUCUAUCCCGUUGCUCUCAAGGUAAUCUAGACAGAGGCAGCUGAAAAGCCCCGCAUCUUAUGCUUUAGACAUCAAAGCAGGCUCUCACAAUGAAAGUAUUCCUUCGCAACGGUGAAUCUUCAUGAAUCCAAACACUGGUAAACAACAUCAGUCGCUAACAUCCACUCUGUAACUGCUGUGGCUCCCCAUCAUGCCAUUACUCCGGUGUAAUGAAUCCAACAGCUCACCCCAAAAAAGUCUUUAUACAGCCUCAGCUCGUGUUGAUGCUAUUAAAAGGACGUCCCUCGACUGCGAUGCACUAAAACGCUUCUUGCCGCCUUCAAAGCAAUGGCUUCCAUAUGUUGCCAUGUUUUAUUAUCAGCGAGUGGAAAGAAGAGUAACGCACCCGGCCCUCACUUCCUCCCCUCAACCGAGAAACGUAUGGUAUUUUUGGGAAAGGGAAAAGGGGAAGGGGGGGUUCAAUCCACUGCUUACUGGGGUUUGGUCUUCCCGCCAUUUUGCUUCUGCCUGCGAUAGGUGUAAACUGGGGGUGCUAUUUGUCGCAGCCCUUUAUGGCACAGUUAUGGCACAUUUCCUCUGUCCCAAUUGAUUUCUGCUGGAGAGAGAAGAGAGCGAGGAUGGGAGGGUUGAUCGGGCUGUAUAUACUGGACAAUAUUGGGCCUUGCAUGAUGGGGGCACUUGGGAGCAGUGGUUCAUAGGCAGCCUGAUCCCUUAACUUAUUUAAGCCCGAGGACGUGCACUCCAGCCCUGAACAGUGUGUAAAGUAAGUCCUUCUGAAAUCCACGAUAAUGCUUUCUCUGUAUCAUUUUUCCUCUUCGGAGUGUUCCAGGAUAACUUUAGAUCGCGAUCCUAAAUCAUUUGGGAACGAAAUGAAAGAGGUUUACUUGCAACUUGAUACCUCGAAGUAGUCUAAAUCGUAUGUCGCCUUAAUGGGGAUAAAAGAUGCACACAGAGAAGAACAUCACACCCACUCCCAUCAUAAAAUCACAUUUAAAUAACAAGGGAAAUCAUAAUCCAAAGGUCGUUUUCGGUCCACCUACAGAUUCGCUUCACUCCGAAGGGUUAGGGGGUUCUUCACUAGAAAGAGAUACUCAGACACAUUCUGCCUGAUGUAACCGUUUUUGCAUUAAAUGUUUGCUUUAUGUAUUCAAAAAGGUGCUCUUAGGAAGAUGAAUUUAAACGAUGUGCUGUUUGUUUGCUUUAUUGUUCAAUUUCUUUUUUUUUAAAGAUUUUUUUCCCUAGUUCUUGCUCAUCACACAGGACGAGGCCACAAAUUUAUAUACGGCUACUAUUUAAGAGUAAAUCAAAUUGAAUUGAAUUCAAUGGGUGGACCUCCACUUAGAAAUACGUACAGUAAAUAAGUAAAAUGAACGAUGAGGAUGUAGGUUUAUGUACCAUGUGUAAUUUGAGUAAAUUUCUAAUGUAACGACUGAGGGAUUGAAGCAUUCUGAACACUUUUUUUGGAAUAUGUAGAUGAAACAAAAGUGAUUAUCGGUGAAAACGUCAUUAAUUUUGGAACAGUCAAUUCAUGUCGCUAAAGUAUAUUUGCAGUUUUUGAAUAAA